rnacentral:rRNA from 1 species
UGCCAGCAGCCGCGGUAAUACAGAGGGUGCGAGCGUUAAUCGGAAUUACUGGGCGUAAAGCGUACGUAGGUGGAUAUUUAAGUUGGAUGUGAAAGCCCCGGGCUCAACCUGGGAAGGCCAUUCAAUACUGGAUAUCUAGAGUACAGUAGAGGGAAGUGGAAUUUCCGGUGUAGCGGUGAAAUGCGUAGAUAUCGGAAGGAACAUCAGUGGCGAAGGCGACUUCCUGGACUGAUACUGACACUGAGGUACGAAAGCGUGGGUAGCGAACAGGAUUAGAUA